GCCCUUAUUCGACAUGCUAAAAGUGACGUUUCGUGUUGAUUUCCAUUUGAUGUGAGAAAUAUUGUGACUUGUCGAAUUGCUAUUAUCACCACCUGUCAGUGAACAAUAUCCACACUAGAGGCGGGGCGUUGUACCGGAAUAGUUUUUGGAACAGGUUAUUUGUAAUAGACUACUUUUAGCUUGUCGAGUAUUCAAAAGUACGGACUUUGAUUUCUGAAAUAAAACAAAUAUGAAACUUUUAUCACCUCGUACCUCCAUUCUUACCGUUACUUUAGGUAAAAUAAAAUUUUGUUAACAGAUGGUCGUCUGGGUGUCUGGUGUAUCUAAAAAUAAUGUAAUAAUAUAUAACAAAAAUAUGACAAUAGAUUCAUAGCCUUCACUCAAAACGUCACCAUAUUUCCGACCCUUACCGAAAUAAUAAGUCGAUAUUUGUAUAAAUAAUCCUUAUUUGUAAGACGCCUAAGCAUGGCAAAUACGUAAACUGCCUAUUGGGGGUCAUACUCGUAAAACUGGUAUUUUAGACGUACUUUUGGUACGAGUAACAGAGACGUACUUUUGGUACGCAGUCCCAGCUCUAGUCAGGAUUCUAGUUGUCAAAUAUAAGCGUGUCGAAUACGUAUUAGUUAACUGUCAAAUGAAAUUAGAUCAACGGUAGACUUUUUUGUCGAUGGGUAUGGCUGCCAUGUUUGGAUUUAUGACAUUUAAAAGGGGAUCCUAAGGCAGAGAGUAGUUUUUUUCUGUACGAUUUUGAUUCUUCUACUGGACGCAAGAUGGAGUUAGCUGCCAAAUUCCGAUCAGGCUGACGCAACUAGGAAGACAAAAGUUUUGUAUGGAAUUUGUUUCGCAAAUCAUUGCCAACGAAGAAAAAGAAAACGUCAGUGCUAUUUAUUCUGUCAAGUUUACAUCAAGUCUACUGUCAGCCUAAUUGCUUUGUUUGUUUUGAAGGCUUCAAUGUUUUGUUCGGGUAUUUCGUGUAAUUUCUUUAUUAUUUAGUGAAAAAAUCGAAAAUAGUCAACCGUGAUCAGAGUAAAGAGCGAGUUUGUUACAAUGCCAGCGAGAAAACGGUUUACUAAGUGUGAAAUAUGUGGCAAGCGAGCCACUCGAGAAAAUCACGAAAAAAGGGAUUUUAUGGCGAAAUUUCCCUUGGAUGAAGACUGAUGUCGAACUACCAGCAAAGUUUUUGAAGAGGUGUAGUUUUUAUAUUUCCUGGUACCAAACUGAUACAGGAAAUUGGAAUGUCAGUAAAUAAUCUACACCGAAGACAAUGAAAUAUAGUCACAUAAUACUUUAAUGUUUUAUUUUAUUAAAGAAAGCGGUAAAAAAAUGUGUUAACUGAAAAAGAUAAAUUUUAUUUUAUUUGUAGUUGAAUAACAAAAUAUGUAUUUAAUCUCCUUUUAACAUAGGAAUUCUCUUUGUGUAGGUACAUAUAAAUAAUAGGUACUUAGGUCUUGGUAAGUAAUAUAGACAGUACAGUAGGUCUUAUCUUAAUAAUUUGAGAUCUCAUACAUGCGUUCCGAUAUAUCUGAUGGCGACUGUACAUACAAUGGGGUCGCGUAUACGAGUACAAAGAGCAUUAAAAUAGUUGUUGAUAGACCAAGUGAGCGAGCUACUAUGGUACCUAUCUUUAUAUCAAUUUUAUGCAUUAUGUAAUAGCGCAAUACAGAAAAAAAAAAGACAAAUGUAGUAUUAUUUUUAUAGUAAUAAAGGUUAUUCAUGAACCAUCUCGUAAUUUAAAAAAAAAAACGGACUUUAUCUCUAAAUCAUAUGCCUUAUAUUUACAGAUGUGUUAGGUUACAACUUGGUUCGUGAACGUGGUUUAGAAGCAACUUGAGACUGGGUGCGGAGUAAAUUGCAUCAAUUUUUUUUACAAUUUUGAGCGUUUAUAGGAGAAUAUGUGGAGCGAGCAUUAUUCGACGUGUAGGUGUGGGUUCAACAAAAAGAUCGUAUGUCAAUAGUUCUUUAUUGUCGUUAAAAUUCAAUUAAUAAUCGCCUUUAUCGACCAUCAACUGUGUGGUCACUUUUUAAUUGAUUGACGUUGUCAGGUACAGUUUCACUACUCGCCGCCGCAUUGUUCAUAGCGCAUUACUUAUCCUAUCGAAUACAAGAUGUCGCUGAUUCCUGUAAACUUAUGUUUAAAAAAAAAAGACGCUUUACUCUAUGCCAUAUAUUGUAGGAAAGGAAGGGUAUUCCCUGUCGUACGUCAAAAAAUCCAAGAUGGUGCCCAAGCCCAUGGACAAAAAAGUCUAGCAAUAAAAUCAACACUUGUCAAAAUUUGACAUUAGCAAUCCACAGUCAGGUGACAAUCAAAUCAAACCGAACCACUUCGAGUUCAGAGCCAUUUCAAACUAUAUAGUAGUAAUAAACAAAGUUGAUUUUUGUUUGAUUAUUUUUUCUAUGAAUGAGUUUUGAUUGUUCCAAAUGAUAAUAUCCACAGUUGAUAGAAUCAACACUUGAUACAAUCAACAUGCGAUAGAAUCAAGUGUUGAUUUGAUGUGGACGCGAAAUUUGACAGUUGUGCAUCUCGAAUAAGGCCCAAGAACUCGAGUUUAGACUUAAUAUGUGAGUCUGAAAAACUGAGUCGAGUUUCAAAGCAGAGAACUCAAAGGACUCUAAACCAACACUAACCUGAACACGACAUACAGCGCAUCUCAAGCGCACCAAUCGGCGUGAGAGAUAAACAAGGUCGUAUCAAAACAUUAGAUAACAAAUUGGUGGUAGUUUAGCGAAAAGGAUCCAUUCUAUAAAAUUCGUCAUUUAAAUUUAUGACUUUUCUCUUUGGCAGAAAGUUAAAAUUGUAUUUAAAGAUUUAUGUGCAUUGGAUCCUUUUCUCUAAAUUACUUCCAAUUCAAUCGGAUUCGGCUUUCUGGAACGCAUUCGCAUUGGAACCUAAAUAAAAUCUCAUCUUAUGUGAAAUUACUGUAAGAACAUCCCGCACUAAUUCGUGUUACAAGCAAGCUGGGGCCCAUUUCUCGAACGGUAUGAGUCUUAUAAGUGUGUUGCCAUAGUAACCCAUAAGACUUGUCAGUUCGUGAACUAAUAUUAUUAGUAGUCUAAUAGGGACCGUGCGGGUUGGAGGGUCUGUCAUCCUGUGGCCUGAAUCGGAACCAUUUAUUUAUUUAUUUAUUUUUUCAAAUAUUUACACGGCAUUACAGCAUAUGCCAAUACACCGAAUAAUUAGACUAUACAAAUACAAAACAUAUAUAAAAUAAAAAACAGAUAUUCAUUAAAAAUCACAUGCAAGUGCUGGAAAGCCUAUCAUCCAUCAUCUCACAGAACCUCAGACACGCCUGGCACACAUUCGCCCAUCUCCCCGCAAACAAGUCACACUCUGGUGCUGAUGUCAAGAGUGCAUUGAGCAGCGAUAACGCGCGGAGGAGUGGCGAGUUCCUGCGCGAUACUGUGCGCGCCACCGGUACGGCCAACAGUGGACGCGUUCGCGGCCUCAAGAAGACUCGAGGAAUAUCCGGGACGUACAACCUCAAGACUCGAUCUACCAGUUCCGGGCAGUCCGAGUCACCGCGCAAUAUGCGACAAGCUGUAGUCAGCAAGAUGUUGUUGCGCCUCACCUCUAGAGAAUUAUAUCCAAGGCAGCCUAAUAAGAAUUUUGUUGGGUACAAGAAUGGGAAGUACCCAUACCUUUUUUUGUACAGAAAUCUCAAAAAGGCCUUUUGGAUUCUCUCCAGAAGUAAGGCGUAUGAAGACUCGUACGGAUUCCAUAUAAUAGAUGAGGCCUCAAGCUUGCUCCUCACUAAGGCGUUGAAAACCAUCGCAAUAGCCCCAGUGUCACGAAAAUCCUUGACAUUGCGGACCAUGAACAUGUACAUUUACACGUCAAGUGUUUUCUUGUGCAUAGUAGGUUCUGCCAUCUUGUGGGAUACAUCGGAACAAUAAACAUCACAUUUACGCCUCGCGCCAAAAAUCUGACGGCUCCUGUGCUGCAGUUCAUGCACGCUCCCUAUACCGCUCAAGAAAUUGGCCCAAAGACGUGCUGCGAGUACCUAAUUUCAAAAUAAUAUCAAAUAAAUGAAAAAAUGUAAUGCCGGAUAACGCAAAACAAUUGCUUUAUGAUUACCUAUUUAGAGUAUACUCGUUAUAAUCUAUCUACGAAUAAAAGUAUUAUCGUUAUCUUGGAGGAUUUAACAACUGAAGUCGCCUUUAAGAGCUUACCCCUCUGCCGAAAACCUCGGCCAAUGGUCAUAUGUAUUGUAUGGACUGACGUUUAUUUCCCAUGGCUAUUUGUACGUUACGUAAAAAUAGCCAUACAUUUGACGUGCCCCUUCCCCGCAAAAAUCGGCAAACUGUUUUGUACAGAAAAUUACAGACAAGGUGUCUCCAGUUGUUAAAUCCUCCAAGAUCGUUAUGGAGGAUUUAACAACCAGAGUCAUCUUUAAGAGUUUACCCCUCUGUCGAAAACCUCGGCCAAUAGUCAUACUUAUUGUAUGUACUGACCUUUAUCUGACACGUACAUAACGUACAAAUAACCAUACAUUUGACGCACCCCUCCCCGCAAAAUCGGCAGACUGUUUUGUACAGAAAAUUACAGAAAAGGUGUCUACAGUUCUUAAAUCCUUCAAGUACUAUUUUAAAUAGUAAAUUUGACAAAGGAGUGCUAAAAACCAGAAACUAGUCGUACGAAGGGUGAUUGCUGAAUUUUUACUAGAUCUAAGACGAAACUUUACACCAAAUAAUUUAAGACGAUAACUUAGUCUAUAGAUAUUAUAUGUUAUUUGUAUUAUAUUUAUUGUUAUGUACAGUCGCCAUCAGAUAUAUCGGAGCUGCAAAAGCGCUCACAAAUAUCUGAACACACCUCUAUUGUAAAGGCGUUAGAGUGCGUGUUGAGAUAUUUUUGAGCAUCUCUGCUGCUCCGAUAUAUCUGAUGGCGACUGUACAUGAACGGUCUAGGUAAACGUUUUUGGGCUAUUUGUUAUUUUGUUGUAGGUUUUUAGAUUUUCAUAUAAUUUGGUGGAUAGACAAAGUAGAGUUCCCUAUUCUGUACAACAUAAUUGCAAUUUCACCUCCUAUAAAAAUUAAUUUAAAAAAAAAAUAACCUAUUGUACCUAUACAUACCUACCUAUGCCUAUUGCUAUUAUACCUAUGUAUGUCCUACAAAAUCUUCCACUAAGCUACGUAAACGUAUGAAACUUUGUCAAAGGAAUUUUUUUUCCAAAUUGGGAUUUUGUAUCUAUUCUAACAAGAAUGAGGAACUCUUCAAAUCUACCAUUUUUUUAUCAAAAUCUGACUAAUAAAUUUAAUCGACAAAAAAAAUGGCCCUUUUACGUCUAAUGAAAUAUAUGUCUUCAGUUACAACAAUAUCUGUCACGAUGAAGCGCUCGCUCGAUUGCGAUAUUUCUGACCGAUUCAAUCCUUCAAGAAAAGAGCGUGCUCCAUUGUUAAAAGCCGACAACGACAACGCACUUCACUUGCCCUCUGGUGUUGCAGGUGUCCGUGGGCAACGAUAAUUGCCUACCAUCAGGCAAUUCGUCAGCUCGUUUGCCUCCUAUAUAAUAAAGAUAUACUUACACGUUCUCGCGUCAGAAAAUUUUGAGCACUCCAUUUACUUCAAUGUACAGUCAGCAAUACUAUUUGCUUAGCACCUUUGCAUAUCUACUAAUUUCUAUGCAGGGGGUGGUCGGUCCAUUUUCUCUGCAGCUGACUGUACCUACUUAAACUAUUAUAAUGCUACUUCUUUGUUACGACUCUCAUUUACUUGGGACUGAAACUCAUUAAAUUACAAAAAUAUGACUAUUCCACACUACAUUCUCAUUAUUUUGUCAGAAAAAUAAAGCGAUGCACAAAUUAGACACUGCCUUAAAACGACACGUUUUCCAGGUAUAGGUAGGUAUAUCCAGGUAUAUGGAAAUCUCAUUAUAACCCCUUCACAUGGCCUUUAUAUUCUGUUUGUAUAUCAGAUACUAAAAUGACUAUGUAUUGUAUUUGCCGACUUAAUCAUCCUGUUUUUGUACCAAUUUUGUAGUAAAAUGUCAGAUCAAUCGGACAACUUGGAGCAAAUGAACCGUAGUGCCAUUUUAGUAUCUGGCAUUUUGAAAACAGAGCCUAAAGAAAAUUUACUCUGUAUGUUAUCUACAGAAUGUUCAUUUAGUCACCUGCAAUAAUUUACGGGCUGAAUAUAUAGGCCAUAUUGAGCAACUUUUAAUCGGACCAAUCCCGAAAUCUCGAAAAAAAAAUGUACCUCCUAUACAAAAUGUCAAGGUCAGUCAUCAAUUUUUUUUUCGCUAUUUCGGGAUUGGUCCCAUAGUAAAAAUUGCUCAGUAUGACCUAUAUAUUUACUCCGUAAAUUAUUGCAAGUGACUAAAUAACAUUCUGUAUAUUCAUGGAAGCCUACUUUUCUUGUAGAUUAACGAGUCGAUUUAUUAAUUGAUAGGUCAUAAUGAGUGUGAUAAUGGCCUAAGAUAAUUAAACAAAUGUUUACAAAAUUUAGAACAGAAUUGAAGAACUAAUGAAACACAUCCGCGAGAUCUCUUUCAUUUUGUACCUAGUAAGAAUCCGCAGUAAGCUCGGCAGAAUUUUAAAACUACGUGUUGGAUUCAAUGACACUUUGCACAUACAAUGACAUGCUGAGGUAUAUCUAUGCCUGUAAUUUGUCUAUACAGCUCCAGGUUAUAAAACAAAAUAGAGCAAAAACAAGUUUCGUAUGAAAAACUUAAAUCAGUUGUAUUUUUUUAACUAUGGUAUCUGAAGCUACAUAAUCUAAUAACAUGCAUAGAUAUACCUUAUCCUAUUGAAAGUACAAAGUUUCAGAGCAAUCUAGCUAGUCGUUUUAAAAUGAGAGCGUAACUACGUCUGUAUGAAGAACCGAGCUUACUGUGGACUCUUUAAGUGUAUCAUAUCAUAUAUCAUGCACGGCUCUGGACUAUUAAUCUAUAGGUAGUUAUCUAUAGGUAUUAAGUGUGUCGUUACUCAAUAGCCACCCCAAAUCAUGUCCAGUGGUACACCAUAAAUCGUCUGUAAAUAGACGAAAUGGCCCAUGAUGAAAUCCAUUUAACUUAUUUAUUUUAGGAUUCACUAGAAUCAUAGGUUCUUCAUAUUUUAUACCUGCAAUUAAGAUUACAUCGUUUGUUUACGCUUCGGCUUCACAAACAUACGAGUAAAGCCUGACCAGUAAUAUAUGAUCACGCGCCAUAUUGCGGAAUUUCAUUGGAACUAUUGCAUGAGAACAACAGCGCCCUCUUGACAAUGAUCAUUAUAUUUCUGGUCGGGCUUUAGAAAUUUAACGAACUAUGUCGAUAGUUCCGAAAUAAAUAAAAACAUAAAAAUUGGCUUCGUUGAAUCGAUUAUAGUAAGAGAAUGUAUUAAAUUUUCUUUAGCCAAGUGUACUAUCAGCAACCCACUAGACUGACCAUUGGUCGACCUUAUAUCUUUGCGAUAAGGUUCAUAGUCAGUUUAGUGUGAGAUGGUAUUUUACGAGACUUGUUUUCAAUUGAAUACGAAACAAUUUAGUCAAGCACCAACUGCUAUGUGGUCUUACGCCGGCAAAUCAUUCGGUGGUUUUCGUAGUGUCAUUGCGUCACUUUCGUUUGCUAUAUAAAGAGAUGAAAGAACGAACAAAGUGAACUGGCCACUUUAAAACGAUUCCACUUUAUAAUUGUGCUGAAACUUAUCAACAUUCAUAAUAUUAAUCAUGGUAUUCUUACCUGUGUCUUAAUACAGUUGUGUUUGAAUAAUAGACGAAUAUUUGAAAAAAUACCAUCAAGUCCCAUUUCUAAUAUUUAAAAGGCCGAGUUCGUACACGUAAUAAAAUAAAUAAAGUAUUGUUUAUAAAUGUACCCUACAAAAAAAUAAACCUAUAUUAUUAUAAUUAGUAAAAUCAUGGCUAGCAUAGCAUAACAUGUGAUACUGCCCGGUUCGAACUUUAAGAUACGUCAAACAUUUGCUAAAGAUACGAUAUGGAUUAGAUAUGUCAGUGUCAAAAGUGACGUUUUUCAAACAAAAAUGGACACUGACACAUCCAACCCAUAUCAUAUCUUUACGAAAUUUUUGACGUGUUCUUCAAAUUCGAAUCGGGCCGAUAGUCCAGUCAAACUUUCAUAAAUACUUUAAGUUCAUAAUAUUGACAGUGAUUCGCAAAAAAAGAUAACGAGGCCCGCUAAGGCCGUAGCCUUAAUAAAUAUAACUAUAACACGUUAGACAUUAAAGUUGUAAAUUUUUAUCGAAUGUUAGACUGAUCUUUAAAAUAUAUACGAUCAUUAAGAUAUUUGUAAAUGUCAUAUAAUUUUUUUAAGAGUAGAAAUUUAUUUCAAUCCUAAGAUGAGGUGGACCAAAGUCGAUGUGUUAAAUUUUCAAUUAAAAUAGAUUAGAAAAUCGAAUCGAAAAAUUUGAUAAUUCAUAAUGGGAUUGGCCCACCUCAUCUAAAAGCAGCUGACCUACCAGCGGCGAGGAAGUGACUGGCGAUUGAAAAUCCUAUGUGAUAAAGCAUUUAUAUGCAUAUAUUAAUCUUUGGUACUAAACUUUAAGAAAACAAACACUUGCUUAGAAAAGCCAUCACUACUCACUUCCAGCAUAUUGCCACUAGAAGGACAGCUGCCUAAGAAAGUAGUAUCAUUCUCUGUCCACUUUUCUCCUAAUUAUUUCAUACUUUUACAGGGGCUUGAAAUAAUAUAUGCCUUUGAUUUACUAGUACAAAAGAUGGAAAUCAAAUCACUAGUCAGAUAAUUUCAUUGUUUAUAUUGGUAUUAGCUGUAGAUGAUGUAGGUGAUCAACUAAGCUUCUGAGAGAAAUUUGGUAGUAAACUACUACUAACUGAAUGGUUGGAAAUCAGCAAGGUAUCCUUUAUUGGCAACUGUCUGGUCAACACUUAAGUUCCAGGGGUCUAAAUUAUAUUAUCUUUGCCAUUAUCGCGUCUGAGGGCAUUAAGGGAUUAAUUAAGCCAAAAAAUAAUGGUAAUAUUUUCUGACUUAAUACAUCACUACUGUCUACAUGAAAAUAGCUAUACCUGGUAUAACAUAAUUAAUCUGAGACAUACAUUAUUUCAACAAUCAUUUUAUUAGAUUAUUGUUAUAUAUGUACACACCUACUUACGGGGAUAGAAUUAAGUAAUAUACCUCAAUUUGCUCACGGACUUGCUUAACGACGGAAUCUGUGUAGCUAAAUGUAAAAUGAUAAGGAUUUUGUAAAUAUUAUGUAUGUAGAAAAGAAAAUCUUAUUUGUAAAUUAAAUUCGUAUGUUUAAAGGCAAUGUGUUGAUGUAAUACACUUAUGAUGAUAAAUAAAUAUGGCAAAAUAAAUUUUGA